rnacentral:lncRNA from 1 species
GCACAACAGCCUUGCUCGGUUACUCGUCAGGAUGACGAGCCUAGCGGGGCUGGUGGAUCACACGGGGGGCGCUGCUGCCCUUUGGGCUGCCGGCGUACUUGGUCGGCUUCUCGGCGUUCCUGGGCUUCUCCCGGAACCCGCGCGGCGCGUCGCCGCCCUUCGGGGAGGUCAGGUUCAGCGCCUUGAGCACCUCGUCUGCACACAGAAGGCACAUGCGGGUAUGCAGGUGAGCUCACCGCGACUCAUGUAUCGAAAUCGAAGGCAAGCCGCAACGAGAGGAGAGAGAGAGAGAGAGAGAGAGAGAGAGAGAGAGAGAGAGAGAGAGAGAGAGAGAGAGAGAUCCGUACCGGUCUUGAGGUUGGCGGCGGGCGCGGGCUGCUGCGGGGCCUCGACGGCGGCGGGGGCGUGCUCCGGCAGGUCGCCGUAGAAGAGGUCCUCGUCGUCGUCCAGGGCGUCGGGCAGGAGGCCGGCCGCGUCGAGCUCCUCGGCCAUCUCGUCGAGCUGGGUGUGCUCCCGGGACCAGUGGUCGCGGAACCAGGCGGUGGUGGUGACGAGGUCCCACCACUGCGGCGAGAAGUCCUCCACCUGCAGCAGCGCCGCCGGGAUGAAGAGCGGCGCGUCCGG